CUAAUCAAAAGUAAUGCCAGUACUGAAUUUGUGGAUUUCUCCAAAUCAAAGAGAAUUAACCAAACGGAGGGUUUUCCAGGGUUCCCAGCAACCAUUUUCUGAGACGCUUCCAUAUUUUGGGGAUGCUAUGGUUCAUUACAAGUGCAAAUGACAUUUUCUUUGCCUGUACUAAGGAUGAACAAAUUAUGGCAAUCUAGAAACUACAAUUAAACUCCCAGAAUUACGAAACUGUGUCUAGGCAAGGAUAAAGCAGAGAAAUGUAUGCUGGACCUAGACCUACAUACUUGUACCCAUGAAAAUCUAUGAAAACAAAUUAUAUA